UACGGGGGGGGCAAGCGUUGUUCGGAAUUACUGGGCGUAAAGGGUUCGUAGGUGGCCAACUAAGUCAGACGUGAAAUCCCUCAGCUUAACUGGGGAACUGCGUCUGAUACUGGUUGGCUUGAGUGCAGGAGAGGAACGCGGAAUUCCAGGUGUAGCGGUGAAAUGCGUAGAUAUCUGGAGGAACACCGGUGGCGAAGGCGGCGUUCUGGACUGCAACUGACACUGAGGAACGAAAGCCUGGGUAGCAAACGGG
rnacentral:rRNA from 1 species